UUCAUUUUUGUACGUGUUAUUUCCCAAAAACCCUAAAAAGUCUAAAACAAGAAAUAUACAAGGGGCUAUUCUUUGUGUCCAUAUUUGAACCUAUACUACUGUUAUUUCUUCAUCUCAUUUGCCAGUUUCUGGAAUCUGCCUUCUUGGCAGCAACUUUCAGUUGUUACACCAUAGAUGACCUCGUCCUUUGUCUUGCUUAUC
rnacentral:lncRNA from 1 species